UGUCGAACGGGUUAUUCUUUAUAGCUUGCUAUUAAAGUUAGUGGCAGACGGGUGAGUAACACGUGGGAAUCUGCCUCAUAGUACGGGAUAACAGUUGGAAACGACUGCUAAUACCGUAUAUUUUCUUCGGAAGAAAGAUUUAUCGCUAUGAGAUGAGCCCGCGGUAGAUUAGGUAGUUGGUGGGGUAAUGGCCUACCAAGCCUACGAUCUAUAGCUGGUCUGAGAGGAUGAUCAGCCACACUGGGACUGAGACACGGCCCAGACUCCUACGGGAGGCAGCAGUGGGGAAUAUUGGACAAUGGGCGAAAGCCUGAUCCAGCAAUGCCGCGUGAGUGAUGAAGGCCUUAGGGUUGUAAAGCUCUUUCGGUAGGGAAGAUAAUGACGGUACCUAUAA
rnacentral:rRNA from 1 species